rnacentral:rRNA from 1 species
GACGAACGCUGGCGGCGUGCUUAACACAUGCAAGUCGAACGGAAAGGCUCCAGCUUGCUGGAGUGCUCGAGUGGCGAACGGGUGAGUAACACGUGGGCAAUCUGCCCUGCACUCUGGGAUAAGCCUGGGAAACUGGGUCUAAUACCGGAUAGGACCUUUCUCCUCAUGGGGUUUGGUGGAAAGUUUUUCGGUGCAGGAUGAGCCCGCGGCCUAUCAGCUUGUUGGUGGGGUAAUGGCCUACCAAGGCGACGACGGGGAGCCGGCCUGAGAGGGGGAUCGGCCACAUUGGGGCUGGGAUACCGCCCAGACUCCUUCGGGGGGCAGCAGUGGGGAAUAUUGCACAAUGGGCGAAAGCCUGAUGCAGCGACGCCGCGUGAGGGAUGACGGCCUUCGGGUUGUAAACCUCUUUCAGUAGGGACGAAGCGCAAGUGACGGUACCUGCAGAAGAAGCACCGGCUAACUACGUG